GGAGAGUUGGCAGAGUCAGGUAUUGCACCGGCUUGCUAAGCCGUGGUCGGGCCGGAAGGCCUGCGGGGGUUCAAAUCCCUCACUCUCCGCCA
rnacentral:tRNA from 1 species